rnacentral:rRNA from 1 species
GAUGAACGCUAGCUACAGGCUUAACACAUGCAAGUCGAGGGGCAGCAUGGUCUUAGCUUGCUAAGGCCGAUGGCGACCGGCGCACGGGUGAGUAACACGUAUCCAACCUGCCGUCUACUCUUGGACAGCCUUCUGAAAGGAAGAUUAAUACAAGAUGGCAUCAUGAGUUCACAUGUUCACAUGAUUAACGGUAUUCCGGUAGACGAUGGGGAUGCGUUCCAUUAGAUAGUAGGCGGGGUAACGGCCCACCUAGUCUUCGAUGGAUAGGGGUUCUGAGAGGAAGGUCCCCCACAUUGGAACUGAGACACGGUCCAAACUCCUACGGGAGGCAGCAGUGAGGAAUAUUGGUCAAUGGGCGAGAGCCUGAACCAGCCAAGUAGCGUGAAGGAUGACUGCCCUAUGGGUUGUAAACUUCUUUUAUAAAGGAAUAAAGUCGGGUAUGUAUACCCGUUUGCAUGUACUUUAUGAAUAAGGAUCGGCUAACUCCGU